CCCUAUGGGUCGUAAACUGCUUUUACACCAGAGAAAACCCUUGUACGUGUACAGGGCUGAUAGUACGGUGAGAAUAAGCAUCGGCUAACUUCGUGC
rnacentral:rRNA from 1 species